UACGGGGGGGGCAAGCGUUGUUCGGAAUUACUGGGCGUAAAGCGCGUGUAGGCGGCUCGGUAAGUCUGCUGUGAAAGUCCAGGGCUCAACCCUGGGAAGCCGGUGGAAACUGUCGAGCUAGAGUCCGGAAGAGGCGAGUGGAAUUCCUGGUGUAGCGGUGAAAUGCCGCAGAUAUCAGGAGGAACACCAAUGGCGAAGGCAGCUCGCUGGGACGGUACUGACGCUGAGACGCGAAAGCGUGGGGAGCAAACAGG
rnacentral:rRNA from 1 species